CGGUGAGCCUGUCCUAACCCAUCACAAUUUCCAAUUUUAAAUGUUACAUAUUCCACAGUAUUAAACUAUUAACGGUUACAACACCCAGAAUCUUACUUACGAAGUUCCGUCUUCGGUAUAUGCUGCUACGUGUUUGUGUCUUUGUUUCUCGUGUCAUCUUCUAAGUUUUGCAUUGUCAUGAAAGCAAGCUUAAGAUAAUCAUGCUUCGUUGUCCUAUGUUGGUGCCUUCUUAAUCACAUAUUUGUAAGUUGUGAUCCUUUGAUUUUGGUG
rnacentral:lncRNA from 1 species